rnacentral:rRNA from 1 species
GAUGAACGCUGGCGGCGUGCCUAAUACAUGCAAGUCGAGCGAACGGACGAGAAGCUUGCUUCUCUGAUGUUAGCGGCGGACGGGUGAGUAACACGUGGAUAACCUACCUAUAAGACUGGGAUAACUUCGGGAAACCGGAGCUAAUACCGGAUGAUAUUUUGAACCGCAUGGUUCAAAAGUGAAAGACGGUCUUUCUGUCACUUAUAGAUGGAUCCGCGCUGCAUUAGCUAGUUGGUAAGGUAACGGCUUACCAAGGCAACGAUGCAUAGCCGACCUGAGAGGGUGAUCGGCCACACUUGAACUGAGACACGGUCCAGACUCCUACGGGAGGCAGCAGUAGGGAAUCUUCCGCAAUGGGCGAAAGCCUGACGGAGCAACGCCGCGUGAGUGAUGAAGGUCUUCGGAUCGUAAAACUCUGUUAUUAGGGAAGAACAUAUGUGUAAGUAACUGUGCACAUCUUGACGGUACCUAAUCAGAAAGCCACGGCUAACUACGUG